rnacentral:rRNA from 1 species
AACGCUAGCUACAGGCUUAACACAUGCAAGUCGAGGGGCAGCACAGUGUAGCAAUACAUGGGUGGCGACCGGCGCACGGGUGCGUAACGCGUAUCCAACCUUCCCGUUACUCUUGGAUAGCCUUCCGAAAGGGAGAUUAAUACAAGAUGGUAUUCAAAUUCCGCAUGUUAUUUGAAUUAAAGAUUUAUCGGUAACGGAUGGGGAUGCGUGACAUUAGGUAGAUGGCGGGGUAACGGCCCACCAUGCCUACGAUGUCUAGGGGUUCUGAGAGGAAGGUCCCCCACACUGGAACUGAGACACGGUCCAGACUCCUACGGGAGGCAGCAGUGAGGAAUAUUGGUCAAUGGUCGGAAGACUGAACCAGCCAAGUAGCGUGAAGGAUGAAGGUUCUAUGGAUUGUAAACUUCUUUUAUACGGGAAUAAAACCUCCCACGUGUGGGAGCUUGUAUGUACCGUAUGAAUAAGCAUCGGCUAACUCCGUGCCAGCAGCCGCGGUAAUACGGAGGAUGCGAGCGUUAUCCGGAUUUAUUGGGUUUAAAGGGAGCGUAGACGGGAGAUUAAGUCAGUUGUGAAAGGCUGCGGCUCAACCGCAGCACUGCAGUUGAUACUGGUUUCCUUGAGUUCGGUUGAGGUGUAUGGAAUUCGUGGUGUAGCGGUGAAAUGCUUAGAUAUCACGAAGAACUCCGAUUG